CGGCAUAUGCACAUUAGCCAGCAAAUAAUAUAUUUUUAUCGGCAAUUUAAUAAAACGGCCAGCAAAAGAGCCUAUUUUUAUUUUUUUAUAUGCCCUCCAAAAGCAAGCCCUAUAAUUUUUCAUUUCCCUCUCUUCUCUAACUCAUCCCCCUAUGGCUUUUUGGUAUUCAUCUUCUUUUGUUGUUCUUGCCUUGUCUGUCAUCUUUCAUUUAGCCAACAAAUGCCCUCUCAUCGUUCCAUAUUUUGAAGAUCACGGUGUUAGAUUUACUCCGGUCAAAAAGCCACUAUCCUUCGGGUGCGCACAGGGUAAACCCAGCCCCUGUGCAAUAGCUCGCAAACCACACAGGAUAGGUAACCCGCACUAGGAAAGCCCGGUGCGACGAGCUCGACCCAGAAGGCAUAUCCCCUGCUAUCGUAGGCAGGGGGAUUCGAACUUGAGACCUCCAUUAUGAAAGCCACAUGCUCAAACAAUUGAGCCGUCCUUGCAGGUGCACAGGGAGACAGACUUGACCCAUAGCUGUCUAUUUGAAGAUUUCAUAGAGAGCUCCAUUUCCUUCGGAGCCAUAUCUUUUGGGUACUCAUUCUUUUGUGUAUAUAAUUAUGGGCAUAGCGGGGUCCUGUCUCGCUCAUGAUAUGUCAUACUCUUAGAGGCUCGUAGUCAUGUGUAUGUGGGUAGAGAUGUUUGGCCAUGUCGGCCUAUGUUUUGUAUAUCUUUUGUUGGCCUCGUCAGCCUUGUAUAUUUGACAUGGCAUAGAUGCCCAUGAUAUGUUAAUUGAUGAUGGUCGUCCAAUGGGACUAGCUGGAUUAAUGAUUUAAAAUGCAUGAAAUGAA